AGUUAAUAAGUUUAAUAAAAACAUAUGUUUUGAAAACAUAAAAAAUAAGUAAAUUCUUAUAUUAACUU
rnacentral:tRNA from 1 species